UACGUAGGGCGCAAGCGUUGUCCGGAAUUAUUGGGCGUAAAGAGCUCGUAGGCGGUCUGUCACGUCUGCCGUGAAAACCCGAGGCUUAACCUCGUGGCUUGCGGUGGAUACGGGCAGACUAGAGGUAGGUAGGGGAGAACGGAAUUCCCGGUGUAGCGGUGAAAUGCGCAGAUAUCGGGAGGAACACCGGUGGCGAAGGCGGUUCUCUGGGCCUGUGCUGACGCUGAGGAGCGAAAGCGUGGGGAGCGAACAGG
rnacentral:rRNA from 1 species